rnacentral:pre_miRNA from 1 species
GAUUUCAACUAACAAAGUCAUCAACAAUAAAGUUGUAUAAUUCAUCAAGAUCUAUAACUUUUAUUUUUGAUCAUUUUUUUCAUCCGACUAGGUGAUAGGAAUAUUGUUCACGAAUUUUACAUAUCUCUCGUAUGGUUUUAUAAAACUAUAGGAGGAUAUGUAAAUUUUAUGAACAAUGUUACUAUCACUUUGUUAGAUGAUGAAAUGAUCAAAAUAAAAGUUGUAUAUCUUGAUGAGUUCUAGAACUUUUAUGAUCAUGACUUUUUUAGCUGAAAUU